rnacentral:lncRNA from 1 species
GCAUUGUAAUUUAUCAAAUUUUCGUUAAAUUAUUUUUUUACAAAAGAAGUUUACUGCUACACGAGCUGCGAUAUUCGUGUCCUCAAUUUAACUUAAUUUUAAAAAUUAAGAACAAAACGAUUAAAAACAAAGUAAUUUUAGAGAAUAAAUUUACAGUUAAUCCCUUUAUUAUUCCUCACCCAAAGAAGGAAAGUACGAAGAAAAUCGGGUUUUUACCUCAAUAUUAUAAAAAAAAAUUUAUACACCAAAAUAGGUUGUCAGCUAGAUUAAUUACGAAAAUGGUAUGUUUUUUUAGGUCGUGCCUAUCUGACAGGCACAACCGAUUUUU